rnacentral:rRNA from 1 species
CCAAUAGCGUAUAUUAAAGUUGUUGCAGUUAAAAAGCUCGUAGUUGAAUUUCGGGGUCAGCAGGUUGGUCGUGCCACUGGUAUGCACUGGCCUCGCUGAUUCCUCCCUCUUGUAGAACCGUAAUGCCAUUAAGUUGGUGUUGCGGGGAAACAGGACUGUUACUUUGAAAAAAUUAGAGUGUUUAAAGCAGGCUAACGCUUGAAUACAUUAGCAUGGAAUAAUUAAAUAGGACGAUCGAUCCUAUUUUGUUGGUUUCUAGGGUUGACGUAAUGAUUAAUCGGGAUAGUUGGGGGCAUUAGUAUUCAAUUGUCAGAGGUGAAAUUCUUGGAUUUAUUGAAGACUAACUACUGCGAAAGCAUUUGCCAAGGAUGUUUUCAUUAAUCAAGAACGAAAGUUAGGGGAUCGAAGACGAUCAGAUACCGUCGUAGUCUUAACCAUAAACUAUGCCGACUAGGGAUCGGAUGAUGUUAAUUUUUUAAUGACUCAUUCGGCGCCUUACG